rnacentral:lncRNA from 1 species
CUCUCCCCCCACCCCUGUGUGUGUCUGCUCUUCCCCUGACUCCGAUUCCGUCAUCUCGCCCACCCUGUCUACCCUUCCUGGUGUCUGCGUCACCCCUGUCUGUCUCAGGAGGAUGAGUCGCCGCGCAGUGUCCUGGAGGAGAUGGGCCUGGCAUAGCCCCGUCAGCCAGCGGGGGGCCCUGUGGAACCGGGGGAAGACAAGACAAGAGACAGCACUUGGGGCUGUUUCCUCUCACCUCUCCCCCAGACCCCUUCUCGUGGAGGGACCCGGCCGCUUUUCCUCGGCCACCUCACCUACUUAGAAGGAGCUGUGGCUCCAGCCCUACAUACAAACAUUCCCUCCCUCCAGGUCUUCCUCCCCCACCACCGUCCGUUCCCACUGAAGGCUUUAGGGGCUAGAAGGGAGGGGAAUGUGACCGGAUGGGGAUGCCCAGUGGCUUUCAUUCUCCUUCCUUUGAAGAAGCAAUGGCAACCCCAGCCGUCCUUCGUCCUCCCUGUGUCCCGAAUUGCUGUAAAUAUAUAAAUAUGUCAGGUUAAAGGGAAAAGGUUUCCAGGGCUCUUUUCUCCCCUCUGCCCCCAAACCUACCUCCAUCCCUCCCCAGAACCAGUCAGGGCAGCCUCUCUGCCUCGGAGGGAGGGGCUUUCUUCUCCUGGGCCCCACUUCCUCCUGGGCUCAGUGUCUAGCCAGAGCCAGGGGAGGAGCCACACAGUUAAUGUUUUUCUAACCUUGCUACUUGGAGGGAAGGGAAGGUUGGGGAAGGACCUGCUUUCUGGGACACUGACCCUGUCCCCCUUCCUCCUCUCCACGUUAUGGGUGUGGCAGGAGCCAAGCGGGUGGGGUGGGCCAAGUGGCUGCCUUUAUUUCCUUUCUUCUGAAAUAAAAGGAAAAAGUGUUUCUGGA